UAGGGAAUCUUCCGCAAUGGACGCAAGUCUGACGGAGCAACGCCGCGUGAGUGAAGAAGGAUUUCGGUUCGUAAAACUCUGUUGUUAGAGAAGAACAGCGCAUAGAGUAACUGUUAUGCGUGUGACGGUAUCUAACCAGAAAGCCACGGCUAACUACGUGCCAGCAGCCGCGGUAAUACGUAGGUGGCAAGCGUUGUCCGGAUUUAUUGGGCGUAAAGCGAGCGCAGGCGGUUAGAUAAGUCUGAAGUUAAAGGCAGUGGCUCAACCAUUGUAGGGUUUGGAAACUGUUUAACUUGAGUGCAGAAGGGGAGAGUGGAAUUCCAUGUGUGGCGGUGAAAUGCGUAGAUAUAUGGAGGAACACCGGUGGCGAAAGCGGCUCUCUGGUCUGUAACUGACGCUGAGGCUCGAAAGCGUGGGGAGCGAACAGG
rnacentral:rRNA from 1 species